GGGAGAGUAUCGGAUCAGAUUUGGGGUGUUGAGAAGCUUGUUUUGAUUUAGGAGGAAGUCACAGGUUAAGAGGCUGGGGUUAGAUCUAGGGUUUAAGUUGGAUUUGAUGACUGCAUGUUGAGGGCUCUAAUACUUUGGAGGGACUUGGAUCAGAACUGGAAGGGUCUUGGAAGUGGUCAGGUUUGGGGGGGGGCUCACGAUGGUAUCUUGGGCUAUGCAAAGUCCUAUAGAGUGGCAGUAGGAACAGGAGGGGACUUGGGGUUGUCUGACUCCAGAGCAUGAGUAGAAAUGAGUGAGGUAGAGUUUUGGGGGCCACUGGUAGCUGCUGACUGGAGGGUGGGAAGGAGCAAGUGAACUAGUGUGAGAGGAGGAGGGAUUGGCAGCAUGGAGAGUGGGGUGGCCCCGCUCCCUAUCAUGGACCACAGUGCUGAGAUGACACAGCUUGAGGCCCUGUUGGUGUGGUGCCUUGCUACAAAAGGGUUCUAGGGUUGCCCUUCAUUGCUGUAGUAACCUGGGUCCGGGGCCUCGGUGGU
rnacentral:lncRNA from 1 species